rnacentral:rRNA from 1 species
GUCCAGACUCCUACGGGAGGCAGCAGUGGGGAAUAUUGCACAAUGGGGGAAACCCUGAUGCAGCGACGCCGCGUGAGCGAUGAAGUAUUUCGGUAUGUAAGGCUCUAUCAGCAGGGAAGAAGAUGACGGUACCUGACUAAGAAGCCCCGGCUAACUACGUGCCAGCAGCCGCGGUAAUACGUAGGGGGCAAGCGUUAUCCGGAUUUACUGGGUGUAAAGGGAGCGUAGACGGCGAUGCAAGCCAGAUGUGAAAGCCCGGGGCUCAACCCCGGGACUGCAUUUGGAACUGUGUGGCUGGAGUGUCGGAGAGGCAGGCGGAAUUCCUAGUGUAGCGGUGAAAUGCGUAGAUAUUAGGAGGAACACCGGUGGCGAAGGCGGCCUGCUGGACGAUGACUGACGUUGAGGCUCGAAAGCGUGGGGAGCAAACAGGAUUAGAUACCCCAGUA